UGGGGAAUAUUGCACAAUGGGCGCAAGCCUGAUGCAGCCAUGCCGCGUGUGUGAAGAAGGCCUUCGGGUUGUAAAGCACUUUCAGCGGGGAGGAAGGCGUUAAGGUUAAUAACCUUGGCGAUUGACGUUACCCGCAGAAGAAGCACCGGCUAACUCCGUGCCAGCAGCCGCGGUAAUACGGAGGGUGCAAGCGUUAAUCGGAAUUACUGGGCGUAAAGCGCACGCAGGCGGUCUGUCAAGUCGGAUGUGAAAUCCCCGGGCUCAACCUGGGAACUGCAUUUGAAACUGGCAGGCUAGAGACUUGUAGAGGGGGGUAGAAUUCCAGGUGUAGCGGUGAAAUGCGUAGAGAUCUGGGGGAAUACCGGUGGCGAAGGCGGCCCCCUGGACAAAGACUGACGCUCAGGUGCGAAAGCGUGGGGAGCAAACAGG
rnacentral:rRNA from 1 species